ensembl:snRNA U6 U6 spliceosomal RNA
GUCUUUGGUUACACAUAUACUAAAAUUGGAAUGAUAAACAGAUUAGCAUGGCCCCUGCACAAGGAUGACAUGCAAAUUCAUGAAGCGUUCCAUAUUUUU